UGGCGGCAUGNCUUACNCAUGCAAGUCGAACGGUAACUGGUCUUCGGAUGCUGACGAGUGGCGAACGGGUGAGUAAUACAUCGGAACGUGCCCGAUCGUGGGGGAUAACGCAGCGAAAGCUGUGCUAAUACCGCAUACGAUCUACGGAUGAAAGCGGGGGAUCGCAAGACCUCGCGCGGACGGAGCGGCCGAUGGCAGAUUAGGUAGUUGGUGGGAUAAAAGCUUACCAAGCCGACGAUCUGUAGCUGGUCUGAGAGGACGACCAGCCACACUGGGACUGAGACACGGCCCAGACUCCUACGGGAGGCAGCAGUGGGGAAUUUUGGACAAUGGGCGCAAGCCUGAUCCAGCCAUGCCGCGUGCAGGAUGAAGGCCUUCGGGUUGUAAACUGC
rnacentral:rRNA from 1 species